rnacentral:rRNA from 1 species
CUACGGGAGGCAGCAGUGGGGAAUCUUGGACAAUGGGCGCAAGCCUGAUCCAGCCAUGCCGCGUGAGUGAAGAAGGCCUUAGGGUCGUAAAGCUCUUUCGCCAGUGAUGAUAAUGACAGUAUCUGGUAAAGAAACCCCGGCUAACUCCGUGCCAGCAGCCGCGGGUAAUACGGAGGGGGUUAGCGUUGUUCGGAAUUACUGGGCGUAAAGCGCGCGUAGGCGGAUUAGUCAGUCAGAGGUGAAAUCCCAGGGCUCAACCCUGGAACUGCCUUUGAUACUGCUAGUCUUGAGUUCGAGAGAGGUGAGUGGAAUUCCGAGUGUAGAGGUGAAAUUCGUAGAUAUUCGGAGGAACACCAGUGGCGAAGGCGGCUCACUGGCUCGAUACUGACGCUGAGGUGCGAAAGUGUGGGGAGCAAACAGGAUUAGAUACCCUGGUAGUC